CACAAGCAGCGGAGCGUGUGGUUUAAUUCGAUGUUACACGUAAGAACCGUUUACCAGGGUUUGACAUGCAAGUGGUAGGAACCGAAAGGUGACCGACCCUUCGGGAGCUUGCACAGGUGCUGCAUGGCUGUCGUCAGCUCGUGUCGUGAGAUGUUCGGUUAAGUCCGCUAACGAGCGCAACCCUCGUCGUAUGUUAUAUGUGUCAUACGAGACUGCCGGUAAAAAGCCGGAGGAAGGUGAGGAUGAUGUCAAGUCAGCAUGACCUUUAUAUCCAGGGCUACACACACGCUACAAUGGUCUGUACAAUGGGUAGCCAAGCCGCGAGGCGGAGCCAAUCCUGAAAGCAGGCCUCAGUUCAGAUUGCAGUCUGCAACUCGACUGCAUGAAGCCGGAGUUGCUAGUAACCGCAGAUCAGCAAUACUGCGGUGAAUACGUUCCCGGGUCUU
rnacentral:rRNA from 1 species